CUACGGGAGGCUGCAGUGAGGAAUAUUGCACAAUGGGGGGAACCCUGAUGCAGCAACGCCGUGUGGAGGAUGACGCAUUUCGGUGUGUAAACUCCUUUUAUAUGUCAAGAAAAUGACGGUAGCAUAUGAAUAAGCACCGGCUAACUCCGUGCCAGCAGCCGCGGUAAUACGGAGGGUGCAAGCGUUACUCGGAAUCACUGGGCGUAAAGGACGCGUAGGCGGGUUGGAAAGUCAGGUGUGAAAUCCUACAGCUUAACUGUAGAACUGCACUUGAAACUUCUAAUCUAGAGUAUGGGAGGGGGAGAUGGAAUUAGUGGUCUAGGGGUAAAAUCCGUAGAUAUCACUAGGAAUACCUAAAGCGAAGGCGAUCUCCUGGAACAUUACUGACGCUAAGGCGUGAAGGCGUGGGGAGCAAACAGGAUUAGAUACCCCCGUAGUC
rnacentral:rRNA from 1 species